rnacentral:rRNA from 1 species
CCGUUCAAUACUGCGGAGCUCGAGGGCAGAAGAGGGGGGUGGAAUUGCUGGUGUAGUGGUGAAAUGCGUAGAUAUCAGCAGGAACACCUGUGGCGAAAGCGGCCCCCUGGUCUGCUCCUGACACUCAGACGCGAAAGCUAGGGGAGUGAACGGGAUUAGAAACCCCGGUAAUCCUAGCCGUAAACGAUGGAUGCUAGGUGUGGGUGGUAUUGACCCCAUCCGUGCCGAAGCCAACGCGUUAAGCAUCCCGCCUGGGGACUACGGCCGCAAGGUUAAAACUCAAAGGAAUUGACGGGGACCCGCACAAGCAGCGGAGCGUGUGGUUUAAGUCGAUGCUACACGAAGAACCUUACCCAGGUUUGACAUGCAGGUAGUAGUGAAGCGAAAGCGGAACGAUCCUUCGGGAAGCCUGCACAGGUGCUGCAUGGCUGUCGUCAGCUCGUGCCGUGAGGUGUUUGGUUAAGUCCACUAACGAGCGCAACCCCUGUCGUCAGUUACAUGUGUCUGGCGAGACUGCCGGUCUUAAACCGGAGGAAGGUGGGGAUGACGUCAAGUCAGCAUGGCCUUUAUAUCUGGG